UAAACGGCAAAGGAUUAUGGGAAAAUAUAUGGUCACUACUGUAAUUUUUCUGUACUGUAAAUCAAUUUACAGUAGUGAAAUUGCCCGCGAAAAACUGACCAAUGGCAAGAGAUUUCGUUUUCAAUUUUUUUUUUACUCGGUGGGGGAAGUGGCUGUUAACGGAGAAAAAAAAGAUUGUACCAGUAACUCACUGACAGGGUUUGGUGCCUUUUUACUGACUGCCGUUAUAACGGUGAUAACAUGAACUGCUCAUCAGGCGGAGCCAUGGAAACUUCGCUAACAGCAGCGAACUAACGUGACAUAACGUACUGAGGGUUUGUGGUCUGGAUCAUGUCAUGUCGUCUGCAACGUCGGAGGUGUUGGAGCCUUUUCAUUGCCGUCAUAACGGUAACAUCUGUUUUUGCUGGAUCAUGUCAUCUGUAUCGUCGGAGGAUAAUUUUGGAGUCUUUUCUUUUGAUUGCCGUUGUCAUAACGGUGGUAACAUCAACAGCAGCUGCCAUUUCCUCUGGACUGUACCACUGCUGCUGCUCUCUAACACAGAAAGAGUGAUGCUUUGAGGAGGAGGAAAAAGGACAGUCUGUUCUUUAAGCAAAAAACAUGGAUGCUGACUAUGAAGGGCAGAAUAAUCAUCCAGCCAACAGACUCUUUUUCAGCAUUUGCUGUCCACUUUGUUGGAAUGCAGAAUUGGGUUCAUUCCAAGAAUCAACCCUGAUGGCACCAAAUACCCAAGUCAAAGAUCAGAUGGAAAUCUCAAAAGGUCCAAAGAAAAGCUUCGGCCUGAACCCAUCAAGGUGUUUCUCAUCAGAAAGCUUGUCAACUUUGACCACCAUAAUUAUUGAAAUGUAACACAACACAAACUGACUUUUACUGCAUUUUUAAGGCCUGUUUUGCUUUUCAGUAUGUGUACAUUUUGCCAUGCUACAGAAGAAAGAAAAUGUUUAAAAUGAUUAAAAAGAAUAUUAUAUGGA